AUGAUAAAUCAACCUAGACAAGAGAUUUUUUGCGUUUGUUUAUGUCUGAUUUGCACCGAUUUUGGUCCUAUCUAUUUCUGAUUUUGUUUUCCGUUUGAGCACCGGUUGUUUUUGCAUCGCUGGGAAGUUAAUUUUCUACAACUGAGGUGUGUUUUCUAACUGCUGUGUUUUGAUUGUUAUUCUGUGUUUUGAUUAAUUUUGGAUGGAAUUGUAACCGUUUGGUUUUGGGUUGGCUCUGUUCCUGUGCUAGAGUUUUCCUGGCUAACAGGAUAUUUUGCGCUUUGGUUCCUUGCUUGGUCAGUCUCAGAUUUACUGACGGUUCCGGCGGUCCUGUUAUUUUUUGGAAAAUCAGGAAUUUGAACAUCAGCUUGUGACUUUGCCGUCGAUUUGAACGCCACCAGCUUCGAUGCAGUCCUUGGAGACACCCCUGCCUCCUCUGCCAUAGUCGAAUUCUUUGCUCACUGGUGCAAAACGCCAUAGAGUAUUUAAACGUCAUCGGGGCCUUGGAUGAGAAUGAGAAUCUGACUGUUUUAGAUAUUUCAGAAUUUCAAAAAGCAGGUGCGGUUUGAUCAAUUAAGGCCAACCUGAUUUACAGGGGUCUGAUUAGUGGUACACUACUAAUUACCUCACUUUUCUCCCAAGAGUAUGCUGCUUUUUCCAAAAGGAAAAUAUUAGCUUGGUUUGAUCUCUUAUUGAAUUGUGUAGAUUUGGUUUGAUCUCUUAAUUUGUGUUGUGCAAAUUUUGUAUGAAUUAAUUUGGGUUGGGCAGAGGAAGCAAAUAAUUUUUUAAAUUAAUAA
rnacentral:sRNA from 1 species